rnacentral:rRNA from 1 species
UACGGGGGGGGCAAGCGUUGUUCGGAAUUACUGGGCGUAAAGGGCUCGUAGGCGGCCAACUAAGUCGGACGUGAAAUCCCUCAGCUUAACUGGGGAACUGCGUCCGAUACUGGAUGGCUUGGAUUUGGGAGAGGGAUGCGGAAUUCCAGGUGUGGCGGUGAAAUGCGUAGAUAUCUGGAGGAACACCGGUGGCGAAGGCGGCAUCCUGGACCAAUAUUGACGCUGAGGAGCGAAAGCUAGGGGAGCAAACGGG